ensembl:snoRNA
UGCAGCCUUGUCAAAUUCAGUGCUUCCUCUACAAUGGACUGUACUGGCCAGAAUGGCUGCCACAGUGAAACUGUAGUUCAUGGGCCUCACAUUCCUUUUCUAUGGAUGUUGGGGAUACUUUUGUGCUAUAGACAGUU